rnacentral:rRNA from 1 species
GCGCGUAGGUGGUAGUGUAAGUCUGAGGUGGAAUCCCAGGGCUUAACCCUGGAACUGCCUUGGAAACUGCAUUACUUGAGUCAGUGAGGGGAGGGUAGAAUUCCUGGUGUAGCGGUGAAAUGCGUAGAUAUCAGGAGGAAGGCCUGUGGCGAAGGCGGCCCUCUGGUGCUGGACUGACACUGAGGCGCGAAAGCGUGGGGAGCAAACAGGAUUAGAUACCCUGGUAGUCCACGCCCUAAACGGUGGGCACUAGGUGUAGGGCUCGUAAGGGUUCUGUGCCGAAGGGAAACCAUUAAGUGCCCCGCCUGGGGAGUACGGCCGCAAGGUUGAA